GAUGAACGCUAGCGGGAGGCCUAACACAUGCAAGCCGAGCGGUAGAGUCUCUUCGGAGACUUGAGAGCGGCGCACGGGUGCGGAACACGUGUGCAACCUGCCUUUAUCUGGGGGAUAGCCUUUCGAAAGGAAGAUUAAUACCCCAUAAUAUACUGGAUGGCAUCAUCUGGUAUUGAAAACUCCGGUGGAUAGAGAUGGGCACGCGCAAGAUUAGAUAGUUGGUGAGGUAACGGCUCACCAAGUCAGCGAUCUUUAGGGGGCCUGAGAGGGUGAUCCCCCACGCUGGUACUGAGACACGGACCAGACUCCUACGGGAGGCAGCAGUGAGGAAUAUUGAACAAUGGGUGAGAGCCUGAUCCAGCCAUCCCGCGUGAAGGACGACGGCCCUAUGGGUUGUAAACUUCUUUUGUAUAGGGAUAAACCUAGAUACGUGUAUCUAGCUGAAGGUACUAUACGAAUAAGCACCGGCUAACUCCGUG
rnacentral:rRNA from 1 species